GGAGCUUGCUCCUUUGACGUUAGCGGCGGACGGGUGAGUAACACGUGGGUAACCUACCUAUAAGACUGGGAUAACUUCGGGAAACCGGAGCUAAUACCGGAUAAUAUUUCGAACCGCAUGGUUCGAUAGUGAAAGAUGGCUCUGCUAUCACUUAUAGAUGGACCUGCGCCGUAUUAGCUAGUUGGUAAGGUAACGGCUUACCAAGGCAACGAUACGUAGCCGACCUGAGAGGGUGAUCGGCCACACUGGAACUGAGACACGGUCCAGACUCCUACGGGAGGCAGCAGUAGGGAAUCUUCCGCAAUGGGCGAAAGCCUGACGGAGCAACGCCGCGUGAGUGAUGAAGGUCUUCGGAUCGUAAAACUCUGUUAUUAGGGAAGAACAAACGUGUAAGUAACUGUGCACGUCUUGACGGUACCUAAUCAGAAAGCCACGGCUAACUACGUGCCAGCAGCCGCGGUAAUACGUAGGUGGCAAGCGUUAUCCGGAAUUAUUGGGCGUAAAGCGCGCGUAGGCGGUUUUUUAAGUCUGAUGUGAAAGCCCACGGCUCAACCGUGGAGGGUCAUUGGAAACUGGAAAACUUGAGUGCAGAAGAGGAAAGUGGAAUUCCAUGUGUAGCGGUGAAAUGCGCAGAGAUAUGGAGGAACACCAGUGGCGAAGGCGACUUUCUGGUCUGUAACUGACGCUGAUGUGCGAAAGCGUGGGGAUCAAACAGGAUUAGAUACCCUGGUAGUCCACGCCGUAAACGAUGAGUGCUAAGUGUUAGGGGGUUUCCGCCCCUUAGUGCUGCAGCUAACGCAUUAAGCACUCCGCCUGGGGAGUACGACCGCAAGGUUGAAACUCAAAGGAAUUGACGGGGACCCGCACAAGCGGUGGAGCAUGUGGUUUAAUUCGAAGC
rnacentral:rRNA from 1 species